rnacentral:rRNA from 1 species
GUGGGGAAUAUUGGACAAUGGGCGAAAGCCUGAUCCAGCCAUGCCGCGUGUGUGAAGAAGGUCUUCGGAUUGUAAAGCACUUUAAGUUGGGAGGAAGGGUAGUAACCUAAUACGUUGCUACUUUGACGUUACCGACAGAAUAAGCACCGGCUAACUUCGUGCCAGCAGCCGCGGUAAUACGAAGGGUGCAAGCGUUAAUCGGAAUUACUGGGCGUAAAGCGCGCGUAGGUGGUUCAGUAAGUUGGAAGUGACAUCCCCGGGCUCAACCUGGGAACUGCUUUCAAAACUGCUGAGCUAGAGUACGGUAGAGGGUGGUGGAAUUUCCUGUGUAGCGGUGAAAUGCGUAGAUAUAGGAAGGAACACCAGUGGCGAAGGCGACCACCUGGACUGAUACUGACACUGAGGUGCGAAAGCGUGGGGAGCAAAUAGGAUUAGAUACCCGGGUAGUCC